AUGGAAAGCCGUUGCGCGAGCAGAGGGGAGCAGCGCACACCAGGUCACAAACACUCUCAGGAUUCAGAAAUCCAGCUGCAAGCAACAGAAAUUAGCGAGAUCACGCACGCCAUGGCAGCUUUGUUGGAUCUCAUGCUGGUUCGCUCGUCGCCAUCGCCUCGCUUGGUUGUUGCUCCACAGGCGUGCGCCGCACCGGUGGCCGGGGCGCCCGGGGAAGGAGAGGGAGCAAUGCCGCCGGCCGUUCCGUGCCUCCGCGCCGUCGUGCUGCGGGAGGCGUUGAGGGAGCGGCUCGCCGGCGAAUGGGAGGAGCGGCGCCGCCGACCACGGCCGCCCCCGCUGCAUCUUCGCGUGGGCCAGUGCGGGAGGAACAGAAAGAGGAAGUGGGCCGGGCCGAGAAGACGGCCCUCAACUCCACCUUCUGCCCAAAGCCCGAGGGUAACCGCCUCACCCAACAAGGCGCGCUUCUCCUCUUCUCCCCGUCGCCGGAGCGCCUACGAGAAAUCAUUCAUCCUCUCUGCCUCUCCAGCGAUGGAUCAGUUCCACGACAGGCAUCACGUGCGGCUGCGGAGCUGCGUGCUCCGCACGUACCUCCACGCCGACCACGACGGGGAGCGCGUCUCCCUCAGCCGGCGCCGUGACUCGCUGAACACGGCGUGGGUGGUGCACAUCCACCAACGCGCCGACGGCCCGUACCUGCUCCUCCACAGCGCCGCCUACGGCCACUACCUCGGCACCACGUUCAAGCCGGCGCCGCUCGGCCACCACGGCUGCCGCACCGAGCAGCGCGACUACGACGACGAGCCGGACUUGAUGGCCGUCAUGUGGAAGGCCGCCAGGGCGGGCGUCCGUGACAUCAUCCUGCUCCGCGACGUCGCCGGCCGCUACCUCCGCGCCAAUGACAGGUACCUCCCCUGGAACACCGGGGUGACCGUCGACAACAAGGUCAGCGCCCUGAUGUACUGGACCGUCGAGCACAUCCCCGACAGAGACGGUCCGCCUGGCCUUCCAGGCCCGAUCCACACCCCCAGCCCCGGAUACCACUCCCUCAUGCUCUGGCGCAACCCGGUGGUGUCACGGCUGAUCCGGUUCAUGCUGUCCGAUCCCAACGGCCCCAUCUACACCCAGCACUGCUGGACCACGCUGCGGUUCAGGGGGAGGUCCGUGUUCCACCUGAGGGACGAGCUGGCCAGGCGCAUCGCCUUCGUCCUCGACGGGCGUCAGUCCUUCGACCUCGUAAUGUGCGUCCGAGCGGGCCGCCGGGGGCGUCUGACCCCACUCGUCAUCGACCUGCCCAGCAGCGGCUACGGCGAGACCCUCUGGAUUGUCGUCUUCAUGUCCGGGACCCCAGCUUAUAACGCACUGCGACACCCGGAUGUCGAUGCAGAGUAG
rnacentral:rRNA from 1 species